rnacentral:rRNA from 1 species
UACGAAGGGGGCUAGCGUUGUUCGGAAUUACUGGGCGUAAAGCGUGCGCAGGCGGCUUCUCAAGUCAGGGGUGAAAGCCCAGAGCUCAACUCUGGAAUUGCCUUUGAGACUGAGUGGCUUGAGUACGAGAGAGGUGAGUGGAAUUCCCAGUGUAGAGGUGAAAUUCGUAGAUAUUGGGAAGAACACCGGUGGCGAAGGCGGCUCACUGGCUCGUAACUGACGCUCAUGCACGACAGCGUGGGGGAUCAAA